AAAUGUCUUGAUAAACUUUGGAAUUCAUUUUUCCAUCGAUGACAGUAAUCCGUCCAGGGCCUGAGGCAGCAAAGCAGCCCCAAACCCCUCCACCAUAUUUCACAGUUGGGAUGAGGUUUUUGAUGUUGGUGUGCUGUGCCUUUUGUUCUCCACACAUAGCGUUGUGUGUUCUUUCCAAACAACUCAAUUUUGGUUUCAUCUGUCCACAGAAUGUUUUGCCAGUAGUGCUGUGGAACAUCCAGGUGCUCUUUUGCAAACUUCAAACCUGCUGCAAUGUUUUUUUGGACAGCAGUGGCUUCCUCCGUGGUGUUCAAGGUUUAUUAUUUAAAGUUUUAUUUCAGAAAUGCAGCCGUUAAAUUUCAAGGUAAGAAUGAAGCUACACUGAUUUCGUCUUAAGAUAAAUAACUGUUCAUUUUAUAAUGUUUUUUAACUGAAAGAGACGUAAUCCUGUCCAGGACAUGUCCUGGAAAAAUGACAAGUAUGGUCACCCUACUUUAAUAACAAUCAACAUAAACUUUGACAUGAGAUGAAACGCUUGCUUUACCUUCUUUAUGUUUGUUCUCUUGCUCUUCAGCCAACUGGAUCUGUAUCAUCUUUCUUGGGUUGUCCUGUGUAAUCUUAACAGCUUCUUCUGCUCCAUCAUGCGCCACCAUCUUAUCUACUGUAUCUAAGACAUUUGCAUUCUGCAGAUCUGAGGAUGAAACACCAUCAAGAUCCGUCAGGCUCCACUGAAACUCUUUGAGUUCAACUUGUUUCCGUUUUCUCAGUAUCUAUCGUAUUUAAGACAUCUCCAUAGUUUAGAAGCUGAAGUUUUCAUAUACAAAUGUUCUUACUGUAAAUUAACAGAGAUUUGCUCUAAUUCGUGACUUCCUCACAUUUGUCGGGCGCAUACUUCAACAAGGUUUAUUUUUUAAUGUUUUAUUUCAGAAAUGCAGCUGUUAAAUUUCAAGAGACGCAAUCCUGGCCAGGACAUGUCCUGGAAAAAUGACAAUUCUUCAGCCAGCUGGUUCUGGUUCAUCUUCCUCAGGAUGUCCAGUGUGAUCUUCACAGCUUCUUGUUUAUAACGCUCCACCAUCAUCUUCACA